ACACUUGGUGGGUGCGUUGGUUUACCAUCUCCCCAAGUGGGAGAGUGGACGUCAUAAUUUGUGGUAGAGGGGGUACGCGUUCGCGCGGCCCCUGCUU
rnacentral:snRNA from 1 species